rnacentral:sRNA from 1 species
UACUGGGGUCGCGAUGUCAUUGACCCGGU